GGGGAUUUGGCUCAGUGGUAGAGCACUUGCCUAGGAAGCACAAGGUGCCAAGGAAGCACAAGGUCCUGGGUUCAAUCCCCA
rnacentral:tRNA from 1 species